rnacentral:lncRNA from 1 species
AGGCUGACCGUAACGUUCAUGUGAGGUUGGAGACUUUGAGAGACUACUCGGAGAAUCUGGGUGUCGUUCAGCCAAGACUUGACCACUGUGGGAUAAGAACAGCCCAGGUCCCAAAGGCACCAGAAGCACACACAGCCGGGUGCAAGGUGUCUAUUGUAUCUGUAGCAGAAUUAGCUCAGCGGAAUGGGCAGACUGGGAGUUCCAGAGACUGGGAGCCAGAACUUGGAAGUCACUGUCCACCUUAAAACAUCCA